GACGAACGCUGGCGGCGUGCCUAAUACAUGCAAGUCGAACGCUGAAGAGAGGAGCUUACUCUUCUUGGAUGAGUUGCGAACGGGUGAGUAACGCGUAGGUAACCUGCCUUGUAGCGGGGGAUAACUAUUGGAAACGAUAGCUAAUACCGCAUAACAAUGGAUGACACAUGUCAUUUAUUUGAAAGGGGCAAUUGCUCCACUACAAGAUGGACCUGCGUUGUAUUAGCUAGUAGGUGAGGUAAUGGCUCACCUAGGCGACGAUACAUAGCCGACCUGAGAGGGUGAUCGGCCACACUGGGACUGAGACACGGCCCAGACUCCUACGGGAGGCAGCAGUAGGGAAUCUUCGGCAAUGGGGGCAACCCUGACCGAGCAACGCCGCGUGAGUGAAGAAGGGUUUCGGAUCGUAAAGCUCGGUUGUAAGUCAAGAACGGGUGUGAGAGUGGAAAGUUCACACUGUGACGGUAGCUUACCAGAAAGGGACGGCUAACUACGUG
rnacentral:rRNA from 1 species